CAGUCGCCGCGGUAAUACGUAGGUGGCAAGCGUUGUCCGGAAUUAUUGGGCGUAAAGGGCUCGCAGGCGGUUUCUUAAGUCUGAUGUGAAAGCCCCCGGCUCAACCGGGGAGGGUCAUUGGAAACUGGGAAACUUGAGUGCAGAAGAGGAGAGUGGAAUUCCACGUGUAGCGGUGAAAUGCGUGGAGAUGUGGAGGAACACCAGUGGCGAAGGCGACUCUCUGGUCUGUAACUGACGCUGAGGAGUGAAAGCGUGGGGAGCGAACAGGAUUAGAUACCCCAGUAGUCCCUGUCUCUUAUAC
rnacentral:rRNA from 1 species